rnacentral:lncRNA from 1 species
CUUUUACAGGCAAUGACUGCACAGCCUGCAAGAGGCCUGUUUUGGACAUUAGUUGUUAAUGUAAGUAAUAAUGAUAAUGAAUUGCCUACUUGAAUGUUGUAUACAUAUGUCUAAAAGGGUUGCCUUUUAAAAAUAGAUAAUGAAUAGAAUAGGCUUUGGACAAAUGUGAUCUCUGAAUGAAGGCAUCUUCUUGUUUAUUAACAGCCACAGGUGUUCUGAGUCCAUGUCUUCCAGGCCAGUGACCCUGAUUGUAAAGGUCACUUUACAUACUGUCAUUUCAUGACUUCUGGCUUUCUCAUGAUGGAUUAAAACAACAAAGGAAUCAGAAAGAAAAAAAGGGAGGGGGAGCUGAUGGGAGGCAAACUCAAUGAGACAUUGCAUUGCUUUUUCUGUAGUCUCUGGUUCCUGGUGAGAGGUGAGAGCAGCAUCCUGGUGGCCUCCUGUAGAGAUGGGGGCUGUUUGGCCGAAUCCCUCUCUCUGCUUGAUCAGCUCACAAAGAGCUUGUGUGCGCUAUGCUGGUAAUCCAGCUCAUCUGUUUCAUCUGCCUCCUGUGAGAUAGGGGAAUAAAAAAUAGGUAAAAUACUCUAGAGAAGCUUGAAAUGACUGAUGACAUUGUCAUGUGGUAUCACUUGGGCUUGCAUAUUAAGUCAUGCUUCCCUCUGCUAUGUCUCCCACUUCUGGAAAAGAAUUUAAAAUCAAACAGGAUAGCUUGAUAGGUAGAAAGCAGAAAUGUGUACAUUACAGGUUAAAUCUGACUUUUUUCUCUGGGAGAAAUAAACUAAGAACAUGAAAAUCGGGGCUCACAACCCAGGUUUUCCUUAGCAGGACUGAUUUUGAGAAAGUUGGAGUUAGAAAAAUCUAUGCCCUGUGCUUUGGGUCUGUACUGUUUUCAAUAUUACAAUACAAUUUAAUGUAUAAUGUCUAUGUGUCAUUUAGUUGUUCUUAUGUUCCAUGAAUUAAUUUAUUAUUCAAAAACAAUGUCAAUUAUUUUUACCCAGUUUACAAGUGACAUAGAAUUUGAGGAAAAAGAGUAAAGCACAAACUUAUUUGAAAAUAUAAAGUUGGGAUGGAGUCAAACUCUGAAUGGAUCUGAACAUUGGGCAUUUUCUGAGGAUUGAUGACCAGCUAGGAGGAGUUGAUGGUCCUUGGCUGAAACUUGGGCCAUUAACUCUAGCCAGUCAUUAAUUGCC